UGGGGAAUAUUGGACAAUGGGGGCAACCCUGAUCCAGCCAUGCCGCGUGUGUGAAGAAGGCCUUUUGGUUGUAAAGCACUUUAAGCAGGGAGGAGAGGCUAAUGGUUAAUACCCAUUAGAUUAGACGUUACCUGCAGAAUAAGCACCGGCUAACUCUGUGCCAGCAGCCGCGGUAAUACAGAGGGUGCGAGCGUUAAUCGGAAUUACUGGGCGUAAAGCGAGUGUAGGUGGCUCAUUAAGUCACAUGUGAAAUCCCCGGGCUUAACCUGGGAACUGCAUGUGAUACUGGUGGUGCUAGAAUAUGUGAGAGGGAAGUAGAAUUCCCAGGUGUAGCGGUGAAAUGCGUAGAGAUCUGGAGGAAUACCGAUGGCGAAGGCAGCUUCCUGGCAUAAUAUUGACACUGAGAUUCGAAAGCGUGGGUAGCAAAACAGGAUUAGAUACCCUGGUAGUCCACGCCGUAAACGAUGUCUACUAGCCGUUGGGGUCCUUGAGACUUUAGUGGCGCAGUUAACGCGAUAAGUAGACCGCCUGGGGAGUACGGCCGCAAGGUUAAAAACUC
rnacentral:rRNA from 1 species